GAUGAACGCUGGCGGCGUGCUUAACGCAUGCAAGUCGAACGAUGAAGCCCAGCUUGCUGGGUGGAUUAGUGGCGAACGGGUGAGUAACACGUGAGUAACCUGCCCUUAACUCUGGGAUAAGCCUGGGAAACUGGGUCUAAUACCGGAUAGGAGCGCCGACCGCAUGGUGGGUGUUGGAAAGAUUUAUCGGUUUUGGAUGGACUCGCGGCCUAUCAGCUUGUUGGUGAGGUAAUGGCUCACCAAGGCGACGACGGGUAGCCGGCCUGAGAGGGUGACCGGCCACACUGGGACUGAGACACGGCCCAGACUCCUACGGGAGGCAGCAGUGGGGAAUAUUGCACAAUGGGCGCAAGCCUGAUGCAGCGACGCCGCGUGAGGGAUGACGGCCUUCGGGUUGUAAACCGCUUUCGCCUGUGACGAAGCGUGAGUGACGGUAAUGGGUAAAGAAGCACCGGCUAACUACGUG
rnacentral:rRNA from 1 species